rnacentral:rRNA from 1 species
CAAUGGAAUGAGAUUUCGGUCAAAUGAAGUUGAGGACAGUGGCGGACGGGUGAGUAACGCGUGAGGAACCUGCCUUUCAGAGGGGGACAACAGUUGGAAACGACUGCUAAUACCGCAUAACACAUUGAGGUCGCAUGGCCUUGAUGUCAAAGAUUUAUCGCUGAAAGAUGGCCUCGCGUCUGAUUAGCUAGUUGGUGAGGUAACGGCCCACCAAGGCGACGAUCAGUAGCCGGACUGAGAGGUUGAACGGCCACAUUGGGACUGAGAUACGGCCCAGACUCCUACGGGAGGCAGCAGUGGGGAAUAUUGGGCAAUGGGCGCAAGCCUGACCCAGCAACGCCGCGUGAAGGAAGAAGGCUUUCGGGUUGUAAACUUCUUUUGCAAGGGAAGAGAAGAAGACGGUACCUUGUGAAUAAGCCACGGCUAACUACGUGCCAGCAGCCGCGGUAAUACGUAGGUGGCAAGCGUUGUCCGGAUUUACUGGGUGUAAAGGGCGUGUAGCCGGGUCGGUAAGUCAGAUGUGAAAUCUAUGAGCUCAACUCAUAAACUGCAUUUGAAACUGCUGAUCUUGAGUAUCGGAGAGGCAAUCGGAAUUCCUAGUGUAGCGGUGAAAUGCGUAGAUAUUAGGAGGAACACCAGUGGCGAAGGCGGAUUGCUGGACGACAACUGACGGUGAGGCGCGAAAGCGUGGGGAG